rnacentral:rRNA from 1 species
UACAGAGGGGGCAAGCGUUGUUCGGAAUUACUGGGCGUAAAGGGCGCGUAGGCGGCCUGUUAAGUCGGGGGUGAAAGCCUGUGGCUCAACCACAGAAUGGCCCUCGAUACUGGACGGCUCGAGACCGGAAGAGGUUGGUGGAAUUGCGAGUGUAGAGGUGAAAUUCGUAGAUAUUCGCAAGAACACCGGUGGCGAAGGCGGCCAACUGGUCCGGAUCUGACGCUGAGGCGCGAAAGCGUGGGGAGCAAACAGG